rnacentral:sRNA from 1 species
UUAAGGUACUUGUUUUAUAGCUUUAUGAAAUAACUCCUUAAUCGUGUUCAACUAGUUAAGAUGCAUUAUAUUAGAUCGCGCUUAGCGCAAGGAGGUUUCAUUAUUAUGAAACAAGGUACUGUUAAAUGGUUCAACGCUGAUAAAGGUUAUGGCUUCAUUACUACUGACGAUGGUGACGUAUUUGUUCACUUCUCAGCUAUCAACAAAGACGGCUUCAAGUCAUUAGACGAAGGUCAAAAAGUUACCCUUGACGUUGAAGACAGCGACCGUGGCCCACAAGCUGCUAACGUUACUGUUGUAGAAGAAGGCUAAUUUUUAAUUAACUUUCCAAAAGAAUCUGGUAUUUGCCAGGUUCUUUUUU